AAGAAGCGGAGGUUGUUGCUUCGCUUGUGUACUCUGAUGAUAAUACACUGGUUGAGAAGCCAGUUGAUGCUGAUGCAGCCCUUCUUACAAGUUAUGAUGGAAUUGAAUAUGCUUCUUCUGAUAGACCAAGCAAAGUAAUUAGUGGACGUGCUUCCUUUAAGCUCAAGAUAUCUCAGCUUUCAUCCAAGUGCGAUAACAGGCUGUUCCGCAUUAGGUUUGACAUUCCAAGACUGGGUAAAUAUCCUUUCCUUGAGGUAUUUUCCAGACCAAUACGGUGUAUUUCUCGGAAUCGCAGCACGCGGGCGACCUCUCUAAUGUUGAAGAAAUCAUCUUUGGGGAUCCAUUUGCUAAAUGGAUCUCAAUCUCCUGUGUUGGACGAUGGAUCUUAUGAUCGUCCCUGUAUUGUACGUGAAGCAAAACAAAGUCCAUCAUCAAAACGGGUCAAAUUAGGACAAGAGAAACUAUGUGCAAAUUUUAAGGAUGAUUUUGUGCUGAAGCAAGCUAACGGUGGUUCAAGAUCUCAU
rnacentral:misc_RNA from 1 species